UCGUCGGAGCAGACGGGAGUUUCUCCUCGGGGUCGGAGCAGGAGGCACGCGGAGUGUGAGGCCACGCAUGAGCGGACGCUAACCCCCUCCCCAGCCACAAAGAGUCUACAUGUCUAGGGUCUAGACAUGUUCAGCUUUGUGGACCUCCGGCUCCUGCUCCUCUUAGCGGCCACCGCCCUCCUGACGCACGGCCAAGAGGAAGGCCAAGUCGAGGGCCAAGACGAAGACAUCCCACCAAUCACCUGCGUACAGAACGGCCUCAGGUACCAUGACCGAGACGUGUGGAAACCCGAGCCCUGCCGGAUCUGCGUCUGCGACAACGGCAAGGUGUUGUGCGAUGACGUGAUCUGUGACGAGACCAAGAACUGCCCCGGCGCCGAAGUCCCCGAGGGCGAGUGCUGUCCCGUCUGCCCCGACGGCUCAGAGUCACCCACCGACCAAGAAACCACCGGCGUCGAGGGACCCAAGGGAGACACUGGCCCCCGAGGCCCAAGGGGACCCGCAGGCCCCCCUGGCCGAGAUGGCAUCCCUGGACAGCCUGGACUUCCCGGACCCCCCGGACCCCCCGGACCUCCCGGACCCCCUGGCCUCGGAGGAAACUUUGCUCCCCAGCUGUCUUAUGGCUAUGAUGAGAAAUCAACCGGAGGAAUUUCCGUGCCUGGCCCCAUGGGUCCCUCUGGUCCUCGUGGUCUCCCUGGCCCCCCUGGUGCACCUGGUCCCCAAGGCUUCCAAGGUCCCCCUGGUGAGCCUGGCGAGCCUGGAGCUUCAGGUCCCAUGGGUCCCCGAGGUCCCCCAGGUCCCCCUGGAAAGAAUGGAGAUGAUGGGGAAGCUGGAAAACCUGGUCGUCCUGGUGAGCGUGGGCCUCCUGGGCCUCAGGGUGCUCGAGGAUUGCCCGGAACAGCUGGCCUCCCUGGAAUGAAGGGACACAGAGGUUUCAGUGGUUUGGAUGGUGCCAAGGGAGAUGCUGGUCCUGCUGGUCCUAAGGGUGAGCCUGGCAGCCCUGGUGAAAAUGGAGCUCCUGGUCAGAUGGGCCCCCGUGGCCUGCCUGGUGAGAGAGGUCGCCCUGGAGCCCCUGGCCCUGCUGGUGCUCGUGGAAAUGAUGGUGCUACUGGUGCUGCCGGGCCCCCUGGUCCCACCGGCCCCGCUGGUCCUCCUGGCUUCCCUGGUGCUGUUGGUGCUAAGGGUGAAGCUGGUCCCCAAGGGCCCCGAGGCUCUGAAGGUCCCCAGGGUGUGCGUGGUGAGCCUGGCCCCCCUGGCCCUGCUGGUGCUGCUGGCCCUGCUGGAAACCCUGGUGCUGAUGGACAGCCUGGUGCUAAAGGUGCCAAUGGUGCUCCUGGUAUUGCUGGUGCUCCUGGCUUCCCUGGUGCCCGAGGCCCCUCUGGACCCCAGGGCCCCGGCGGCCCUCCUGGUCCCAAGGGUAACAGCGGUGAACCUGGUGCUCCUGGCAGCAAAGGAGACACUGGUGCUAAGGGAGAGCCUGGCCCUGUUGGUGUUCAAGGACCCCCUGGCCCUGCUGGAGAGGAAGGAAAGCGAGGAGCUCGAGGUGAACCCGGACCCACUGGCCUGCCCGGACCCCCUGGCGAGCGUGGUGGACCUGGUAGCCGUGGUUUCCCUGGCGCAGAUGGUGUUGCUGGUCCCAAGGGUCCCGCUGGUGAACGUGGUUCUCCUGGCCCUGCUGGCCCCAAAGGAUCUCCUGGUGAAGCUGGUCGUCCCGGUGAAGCUGGUCUGCCUGGUGCCAAGGGUCUGACUGGAAGCCCUGGCAGCCCUGGUCCUGAUGGCAAAACUGGCCCCCCUGGUCCCGCCGGUCAAGAUGGUCGCCCCGGACCCCCAGGCCCACCUGGUGCCCGUGGUCAGGCUGGUGUGAUGGGAUUCCCUGGACCUAAAGGUGCUGCUGGAGAGCCCGGCAAGGCUGGAGAGCGAGGUGUUCCCGGACCCCCUGGCGCUGUCGGUCCUGCUGGCAAAGAUGGAGAGGCUGGAGCUCAGGGACCCCCUGGCCCUGCUGGUCCCGCUGGCGAGAGAGGUGAACAAGGCCCUGCUGGCUCCCCCGGAUUCCAGGGUCUCCCUGGUCCUGCUGGUCCUCCAGGUGAAGCAGGCAAACCUGGUGAACAGGGUGUUCCUGGAGACCUUGGCGCCCCUGGCCCCUCUGGAGCAAGAGGCGAGAGAGGUUUCCCUGGCGAGCGUGGUGUGCAAGGUCCCCCUGGUCCUGCUGGUCCCCGAGGGGCCAACGGUGCUCCCGGCAACGAUGGUGCUAAGGGUGAUGCUGGUGCCCCUGGAGCUCCCGGUAGCCAGGGCGCCCCUGGCCUUCAGGGAAUGCCUGGUGAACGUGGUGCAGCUGGUCUUCCAGGGCCUAAGGGUGACAGAGGUGAUGCUGGUCCCAAAGGUGCUGAUGGCUCUCCUGGCAAAGAUGGCGUCCGUGGUCUGACUGGCCCCAUUGGUCCUCCUGGCCCUGCUGGUGCCCCUGGUGACAAGGGUGAAAGUGGUCCCAGCGGCCCUGCUGGUCCCACUGGAGCUCGUGGUGCCCCCGGAGACCGUGGUGAGCCUGGUCCCCCCGGCCCUGCUGGCUUUGCUGGCCCCCCUGGUGCUGACGGCCAACCUGGUGCUAAAGGCGAACCUGGUGAUGCUGGUGCUAAAGGCGAUGCUGGUCCCCCUGGCCCUGCCGGACCCGCUGGACCCCCUGGCCCCAUUGGUAAUGUUGGUGCUCCUGGAGCCAAAGGUGCUCGCGGCAGCGCUGGUCCCCCUGGUGCUACUGGUUUCCCUGGUGCUGCUGGCCGAGUCGGUCCUCCUGGCCCCUCUGGAAAUGCUGGACCCCCUGGCCCUCCUGGUCCUGCUGGCAAAGAAGGCGGCAAAGGUCCCCGUGGUGAGACUGGCCCUGCUGGACGUCCUGGUGAAGUUGGUCCCCCUGGUCCCCCUGGCCCUGCUGGCGAGAAAGGAUCCCCUGGUGCUGAUGGUCCUGCUGGUGCUCCUGGUACUCCCGGGCCUCAAGGUAUUGCUGGACAGCGUGGUGUGGUCGGCCUGCCUGGUCAGAGAGGAGAGAGAGGCUUCCCUGGUCUUCCUGGCCCCUCUGGUGAACCUGGCAAACAAGGUCCCUCUGGAGCAAGUGGUGAACGUGGUCCCCCUGGUCCCAUGGGCCCCCCUGGAUUGGCUGGACCCCCUGGUGAAUCUGGACGUGAGGGGGCUCCUGGUGCCGAAGGUUCCCCUGGACGAGACGGUUCUCCUGGCGCCAAGGGUGACCGUGGUGAGACCGGCCCCGCUGGACCCCCUGGUGCUCCUGGUGCUCCUGGUGCCCCUGGCCCCGUUGGCCCUGCUGGCAAGAGUGGUGAUCGUGGUGAGACUGGUCCUGCUGGUCCCGCCGGUCCUGUCGGCCCUGUUGGCGCCCGUGGCCCCGCCGGACCCCAAGGCCCCCGUGGUGACAAGGGUGAGACAGGCGAACAGGGCGACAGAGGCAUAAAGGGUCACCGUGGCUUCUCUGGCCUCCAGGGUCCCCCUGGCCCUCCUGGCUCUCCUGGUGAACAAGGUCCCUCUGGAGCCUCUGGUCCUGCUGGUCCCCGAGGUCCCCCUGGCUCUGCUGGUGCUCCUGGCAAAGAUGGACUCAACGGUCUCCCUGGCCCCAUUGGGCCCCCUGGUCCUCGCGGUCGCACUGGUGAUGCUGGUCCUGUUGGUCCCCCCGGCCCUCCUGGACCUCCUGGUCCCCCUGGUCCUCCCAGCGCUGGUUUCGACUUCAGCUUCCUGCCCCAGCCACCUCAAGAGAAGGCUCACGAUGGUGGCCGCUACUACCGGGCUGAUGAUGCCAAUGUGGUUCGUGACCGUGACCUCGAGGUGGACACCACCCUCAAGAGCCUGAGCCAGCAGAUCGAGAACAUCCGGAGCCCAGAGGGCAGCCGCAAGAACCCCGCCCGCACCUGCCGUGACCUCAAGAUGUGCCACUCUGACUGGAAGAGUGGAGAGUACUGGAUUGACCCCAACCAAGGCUGCAACCUGGAUGCCAUCAAAGUCUUCUGCAACAUGGAGACUGGUGAGACCUGCGUGUACCCCACUCAGCCCAGUGUGGCCCAGAAGAACUGGUACAUCAGCAAGAACCCCAAGGACAAGAGGCAUGUCUGGUUCGGCGAGAGCAUGACCGAUGGAUUCCAGUUCGAGUAUGGCGGCCAGGGCUCCGACCCUGCCGAUGUGGCCAUCCAGCUGACCUUCCUGCGCCUGAUGUCCACCGAGGCCUCCCAGAACAUCACCUACCACUGCAAGAACAGCGUGGCCUACAUGGACCAGCAGACUGGCAACCUCAAGAAGGCCCUGCUCCUCCAGGGCUCCAACGAGAUCGAGAUCCGCGCCGAGGGCAACAGCCGCUUCACCUACAGCGUCACUGUCGAUGGCUGCACGAGUCACACCGGAGCCUGGGGCAAGACAGUGAUUGAAUACAAAACCACCAAGACCUCCCGCCUGCCCAUCAUCGAUGUGGCCCCCUUGGACGUUGGUGCCCCAGACCAGGAAUUCGGCUUCGACGUUGGCCCUGUCUGCUUCCUGUAAACUCCCUCCAUCCCAACCUGGCUCCCUCCCACCCAACCAACUUUCCCCCCAACCCGGAAACAGACAAGCAACCCAAACUGAACCCCCUCAAAAGCCAAAAAAUGGGAGACAAUUUCACAUGGACUUUGGAAAAUAUUUUUUUCCUUUGCAUUCAUCUCUCAAACUUAGUUUUUAUCUUUGACCAACCGAACAUGACCAAAAACCAAAAGUGCAUUCAACCUUACCAAAAAAAAAAAAAAAAAAAGAAUAAAUAAAUAACUUUUUAAAAAAGGAAGCUUGGUCCACUUGCUUGAAGACCCAUGCGGGGGUAAGUCCCUUUCUGCCCGUUGGGCUUAUGAAACCCCAAUGCUGCCCUUUCUGCUCCUUUCUCCACACCCCCCUUGGGGCCUCCCCUCCACUCCUUCCCAAAUCUGUCUCCCCAGAAGACACAGGAAACAAUGUAUUGUCUGCCCAGCAAUCAAAGGCAAUGCUCAAACACCCAAGUGGCCCCCACCCUCAGCCCGCUCCUGCCCGCCCAGCACCCCCAGGCCCUGGGGGACCUGGGGUUCUCAGACUGCCAAAGAAGCCUUGCCAUCUGGCGCUCCCAUGGCUCUUGCAACAUCUCCCCUUCGUUUUUGAGGGGGUCAUGCCGGGGGAGCCACCAGCCCCUCACUGGGUUCGGAGGAGAGUCAGGAAGGGCCACGACAAAGCAGAAACAUCGGAUUUGGGGAACGCGUGUCAAUCCCUUGUGCCGCAGGGCUGGGCGGGAGAGACUGUUCUGUUCCUUGUGUAACUGUGUUGCUGAAAGACUACCUCGUUCUUGUCUUGAUGUGUCACCGGGGCAACUGCCUGGGGGCGGGGAUGGGGGCAGGGUGGAAGCGGCUCCCCAUUUUAUACCAAAGGUGCUACAUCUAUGUGAUGGGUGGGGUGGGGAGGGAAUCACUGGUGCUAUAGAAAUUGAGAUGCCCCCCCAGGCCAGCAAAUGUUCCUUUUUGUUCAAAGUCUAUUUUUAUUCCUUGAUAUUUUUCUUUUUUUUUUUUUUUUUUUGUGGAUGGGGACUUGUGAAUUUUUCUAAAGGUGCUAUUUAACAUGGGAGGAGAGCGUGUGCGGCUCCAGCCCAGCCCGCUGCUCACUUUCCACCCUCUCUCCACCUGCCUCUGGCUUCUCAGGCCUCUGCUCUCCGACCUCUCUCCUCUGAAACCCUCCUCCACAGCUGCAGCCCAUCCUCCCGGCUCCCUCCUAGUCUGUCCUGCGUCCUCUGUCCCCGGGUUUCAGAGACAACUUCCCAAAGCACAAAGCAGUUUUUCCCCCUAGGGGUGGGAGGAAGCAAAAGACUCUGUACCUAUUUUGUAUGUGUAUAAUAAUUUGAGAUGUUUUUAAUUAUUUUGAUUGCUGGAAUAAAGCAUGUGGAAAUGACCCAAACAUAA
rnacentral:misc_RNA from 1 species